UCACGAGGUGGGCACGCAGAGGUGGCGC
rnacentral:sRNA from 1 species